UUUAUUUUAAGAGUUUGAUCCUGGCUCAGGAUGAACGCUGGCGGCGUGCCUAACACAUGCAAGUCGAGCGAAGUUGUUUUAGAGCUUGCUUUA
rnacentral:rRNA from 1 species